ACAUGAACCACUGGCUGAGAAACAUCCUGAUUCUGACUCUCUGGCUAGAGUGUAAAGGAGAAGACAGAGUGACCCAGCCAGCAGGAGAUGUCAUUGCUGCUGAAGGAGACACAGUUACACUUGGCUGUACUUUUGAGACUAGCAACCCAAGUCCAACUUUGUUCUGGUACAAACAGGAUGGAAACAACAGCCCCAAAUUCAUGUUGAGCCGCUUUCAACGGGAUGAAGGGAAAACAGCAGACGACAUCAAGGACAGGUUUUCAUCAACAGUUGAUUCCACCUCAAAAUCAGUUCCUCUGAAGAUCCAGAAGCUUCAGCUGUCUGACUCUGCUGUGUACUACUGUGCUCUACCCAGACCACAUCCAGCCAAACUCUCACUACACCUGCUGAAGGACAACACAACCCAACGUGUUCUUGGCCCCCCACCCGACCCUGCACCAGAGUCAACGGCGGGCUACGAGGGGACUCUGUGGGUCCGUACAGAGUCGACGGCGGGCUACGAGGGGACUCUGUGGGUCCGUACAGAGUCGGCGGGCUAUGAGGGGACUCUCUGG